CUGCUCCGGUCCUCCAUAGCUCCGGUGCUCGGUGCUCCCACCUCCCUGCUCCCUCCCACCGGCGCGGCGCACUCCGGUACUCCCUCCUCCAUAGCUCCGGUGCUCGGUGCUCCCACCUCCCUCCUCCCUCCCACCGGUGCGGCGCACUCCGGUACUCCCUCCUCCAUAGCUCCAGUGCUCGGUGCUCCCACCUCCCUGUUCCCUCCCACUGGCGCGGCGCAUCCGGUGCUCACUCCUCGAGAGCUCCGGUGCUCCCAAGUCCAACCUCCCUGGUCCCUCCUACCGGCGCGGCGCAUCCCGUGCUUCGACAGCUCCGGUGCUCCCACCUCCCUGCUACCUCCGACAACAUCUGGUGCUCCCACCUCCCUGCUACCUUCGACAGCAUCUGGUGCUCCCUUCUCCAGAGCUCAGAGUUGUGUUUGA
rnacentral:misc_RNA from 1 species